rnacentral:rRNA from 1 species
UACAGAGGGGGCAAGCGUUGUUCGGAAUUACUGGGCGUAAAGGGCGCGUAGGCGGCCUGUUAAGUCGAACGUGAAAUCCCCGGGCUCAACCCGGGAACUGCGUCCGAUACUGGCAGGCUUGAAUCCGGGAGAGGGAUGCGGAAUUCCAGGUGUAGCGGUGAAAUGCGUAGAUAUCUGGAGGAACACCUGUGGUGUAGACAGCUUACUGGACCAUUCUCGACGCUGAGACACGAAGCGU